GAGUUUGAUCCUGGCUCAGGAUGAACGCUAGCGGCAGGCCUAAUACAUGCAAGUCGAACGGUGAUAUUUAUAUCAUAGUGGCGCACGGGUGCGUAACACGUAUGCAACCUACCUAUUAUUGGGGGAUAGCCUUUGGAAACGGAGAUUAAUACCGCAUAAUACGAUUAACUGGCAUCGGUUGAUUGUUAAAGCAUUUGCGAUAAUAGAUGGGCAUGCGUCCAAUUAGUUAGUUGGUGUGGUAAUGGCUCACCAAGACGAUGAUUGGUAGGGGAUCUGAGAGGAUAAUCCCCCACACUGGCACUGAGAUACGGGCCAGACUCCUACGGGAGGCAGCAGUAGGGAAUAUUGGGCAAUGGGCGGAAGCCUGACCCAGCCAUGCCGCGCGCAGGAAGACGGCGUUAUGCGUUGUAAACUGCUUUUUUAUAGGAAGAAGGAUCCCUUGCGAGGGAAGGUGACGGUACCAUAAGAAUAAGCACCGGCUAACUCCGUGCCAGCAGCCGCGGUAAUACGGAGGGUGCAAGCGUUGUCCGGAUUUAUUGGGUUUAAAGGGUGCGUAGGCGGUUUAUUAAGUCA
rnacentral:rRNA from 1 species